UAGAUAAAUCAAUCAGAAAAUUUGCUUUUACACUAUGAUUCAAACUCUUUUCAUCUUCCUAAAGCGAUGCCUUAUGUCAAGAUUUCUCCCUCUCUCUCAUCACUUACUCGGGAACCAACAUCACUCCAUCCAUUCCCCCAAAUUCUCUCUUCACCUCUCGGCUCUCUAUCUCUCUCUCACAGUGAAUCCCUUCUUCACCUCCACGAAAUCAGCCACACCCUUUCCACCCUCUCCUCUUUGCAACAAUCGCCCCUCAUCCUCUCACUUCUCCAUUUUUCUGUGCAUGAUUCACUCUCAAGAGAAAUUGAACGCCUCUUUGACGGUGUCACCUAUAGAUUGAACAUUUAUCACUACUUUCUCUUAUGGUUUGCUUGGAUUUAGAGGAUCGACAUCUCAUACAUAUAAUGAAGCUUCAAAAUGACCAGCUUUUUAACCUAUAUGGGUGGAGAAUGAGGAAACUGCUAUUGGAGUUAACAUACAUGUGCACAAACUUUAAUUGGAACAGCUACAUCUUAUGCAAGAGGAACUUUCAUUUGGUUUGAGAAUUAAAGGUUACUUACCUCAGAUUUAUAGUAGCUAUUUAACUGCAUUCUCUCUGAGCAAACAAUGGCUACAUAUCUCAAAUUUAAAUGGUUUUUGGCUAUUGUUUAAUAGAGAUUAUUAACUGAAACUUGAAAUUGACUUGAUAGUUGAAGAGUUUCUUCCUUUGUUUAAAUUUCAAUUUACUCUCCUUUUUAUUUAUCAUCUCCUCACAAGGGGUUGUGUGUUUGUGAGCAACAGAUGCCUAUGGAAAGCUCAAACUUACUCUAUUAUAAUAAGUUUUAGUUCUAUUAGUUCUAUAUUUAUUAACAUUAGCUCUUGAGUAGUGUUUUGUACAUAAUGUCGAUAUAGUAUCAGGUAACAAUUAUUUUAACUCAGAAAUUUAUAAUUUGGAUUUAUUUUGCCUUUACAUUCAUAUUUGAAAUCUAAGUUUUCAUACUUUUAUUCAUAAACAAAUUUAAUCUGUCAAAAAAAAAAAAUCAUAAACAAAUUUAAAGUAUGAUGGCUUUUAGUGUGGACUGCAAAUGUCAACCUUGCUUUUUUAGUAAAUUUUAAUAACUUUUUUUUUCAUUUUUUAUUAUCGUAAAAUUUAUUUUUUACUAAAAAUGACAAAUGUCUACCUUUAAACCAAUAUUAAGAGGUUUAUAUUAGAUUGAGCUUUGAAGGAUAUUAGAAGUAUAAUAGUUAGUUAGUUGGUUAAAAAAAUUAUAAUAGUUGGUUAGUAUUUGUUUUUUUAGGGAAGUUAGUUAGUAUAUUAGGUAGUACUUGGUUACAUAGAUAGUUAGUUUAUUUUUUACCUCCUAAUUGUGUUGUGUGAGAGUAGUGGAUUUAUUUUGCAAUCCUACAUUUUUCAUUUAUUAUCUUAGAAGGGUGUUAACCUUCUAUUGUCCAAAUUAAUCUCUUAAAAUAUUUUGGAUGAAAGGGAAUUCAACGCAAGUGAUAAAUGUGUUCAAAGAAAUUGCUUUUAUAGCUAGAUCUAAAAAAAUUGCUUGUAUGUAUUUUGUUUAUUUCAGAAGUGACACAAACGGAUACUAAUAUUGGAUGUCACACAUGAUAAUUUAUGGUCAAAUAGUGACUUUUGAGGGGUACAAACGUAAGAUUAAACAUAGUGAUAAAUGUGUUCAAAGAAAACAUCAUGUAGGCAGACGAAAGAAUUCAACAUUGCUUACAAACAAACCGAUUAAACUUUAUUGGCUAAUCAUGAUCCCCUAAAAGGAUAUAAUUAUGAGUACAAUUAUACUACUAUAAAUAAGCUAUCAGCACAAUGUUUUAGCAUAAUUUAGUGCCUUUUCUCAGGUGUUAAAUUCUCAUCAACUAAAUCAGCCAGGGAUAACUGUAAAUUUGUAAAUCUCAGCCAGAGCAGAAAGAAAAAUCAAUAAACAGAAAUGAUUGGUACGUCACCAUCACAAUCCUACAGUGAUAAACAAAAGAUGAAAGAAAACAAGUCGCUCCCUAAUCUGUCUGUGUUACAAAGACCCUAUCAAACAACCUAGUUGAGUAUAAUGCAAACCAGAAUCAUAAGAAAAACAUGAAAAGAUUGCAACUACAAUUGCCACCUAUAGUUCCAACUUGUGUGAACAAAAACUAUUACUUUAUGCAAUAAACAUAAUCAUAUAAAAAGGAUAUAUACAUGCCAGGGAUGAUAACCAUUAAAUUGAUUGAUAAUUUCAUUACCUAUGGCAUUGAGCAGACAAUAAGAUGAUACAAAUCUACUUAAUUAUAUUGAACACCAGCAUCUAAAUAGCAUAAACGAAAUUAUCCACAAAUUCGCAUCCACAAUUUAACUAAGUACAUAGAACAUCCAAAAACAAAAUUGCACAGAAUUAUAUAUAUAUAUGCUAGGCAUUAUGAAUUCAUUCAUCAGAAACAACAUAAUAAAAUCUAAUAGAUAUAUCAAAAAGUUUGCUUAACAUUAAAACAGGACAAAAUUAAACAGAAUUUCGAUAUACUAGUUUUCCAAAACCAGAAU